rnacentral:lncRNA from 1 species
UCAUAAAAUUGCUAUUUUCAAAAUAUUCCCUUCAAUCAUGCACAUAACAAAAUAUGAUCACUUUAGAUUGCUAUAUACUAGAUUAUUCUUAAAUAACAUAUUCUUCGGUCACUAUUAGCAUGGUAAUCUGGAUACUUUUCCCUUAAACAACGCCUCUACUUUGGUUACUCUCCUAUCACGGCUUUCUUGCCUCACCGAUUUCACCUUUAGGAUGAUAUAGUUCUUAGGAAUUUUUCUCCUUUUUCACUUUGCACAUAAACUUCUUAACAUGCUAUUUUUUGAAUAAUUCUACUAUAAAGCAACUAACAUGAACUUAUUUUAUCAUAUCAUGAUUAUUAGGAAUUUAUGAAUUUAACUAUUCAUAAUAGUAA